rnacentral:lncRNA from 1 species
AUAUUGCAAUCAAUUGAUUUGGACAUAAUCGAUCCUAUUUUUAAUCGAUUGCACCAAAAAUCAGCCACGAUUAUAGCCAAUUGGGGCGAUCGCUAAGUUGCCAGUUUACUGUUUAGCCUCAACCCAACAAUGACGAAGGAACAACAAGGAAGUAGCAAAUUUGCCUUGUCGUUGUCACUGCCAGUGGCCGCCAUGUGAGUAGCACAUAGCUAAGAAACUGAGUUUUGGUUGUUAUAGCUGCAUUUAAAAGAAAAAAUGCUAGAGCGAUUAAUAUCACGUCAAUCAUUUGGACUAUUAUGUGGAAGACGUUUAUAUGAAUCAACUCUUAUCGGAUAGUGUUAAGGGUCCUGUUGAGCUGAGAAACGUUUCUUGGAAACUCGAAAUGAUAAACUAACCUAGUCUCCCAAUGGCAAUCCAUCCUUGCUACAUUUUUUAAAUGUUUACUGAUCUCCUACGACCUAUAUUGCUUUCAAUGACAUGGGCACUUAAAGGAGUUGUAGACCCAUUUGGACGCUAGCAGGAAAAAUUCGAAAGAAGAUUUUCAAAGCAAUUUAAUUUUUAUUCAUCAAGAGGCUGGAGGACUGCAGAAAUGAAGAAUUCUUCCUACCCCCUGUGGCCUGUGCUAAAAUGAAGUACAACUGUAGUGUGUAAUUCUUCAAAGAAGGAUAAACACUUAUUACCUGCAACAAUGUUGAUAAUUACAUUAUCAUAAAACUUCAAAGUCUAGCAUCGUCAGUUGAUUCGUAGGUUGAAGUUCCGCGAAGGCUUUACACAUAUUCUACAGUUUAAGUACUGUCAGGUGACAUGUAAAGUUGAAUUUAUGUGUAGUGAUGACAAAACUUGUAGAGAUUCGCUGGCAAAAAUUUGGUCCCUUCAACGGAAACGAUAAUCUUUUCAUUGCUAGAGUAUUUUCCUCUUCUCAUCAAGGAAUAACCUAAAUUGAAUGUUGUCUUGUGAUGGAUUGGGAUUAUUGGUAAGUUCUGCUUUUAUUCUGACAAAUUCUUAUUAGACUGUUAUGGAAGGUUCUUUUUCACAUUUUGGUACUAAACUAAUUUGGCACAGCAGUUCCUUACAUGUAUGUUAUCGUGGCGAAUGGUAAUGUUAUUGUUUUUCUGAGGACGGAAAAUGGAAAGCGUCACCAACUUUCUGAUCGCUCUCAUCUUCGGUAAGGAGCUUUUAAAAACCUGUGCUGAUUAACUUUUGGUGGAAAAUUUUACGUCGAAGACUGGUAAACUUGCUUGGUCCCGCGGAUAAGCUAAAAACUAGGACACGUCCGUGUCCGUGGCUGAAAGCGAGUGACUCGGACCCAUCCAGUUGGCUUCUAGCCCGUUUGGUAUGAGUUUUCUCCACUUUAUUCGUACGUUUACAGCAAUUGAAUGUGUCCAUCUGAAUAUGGAAACCAGUCGAUACGAGCCCAUUCUGCAAGUUUCGUGGAUCAUUCGUGUCUAUUAAGGAUUUCGACAAAAAUGAGUCACUGCUGGUGGAUACCGCAACAAUUAUGAAACAUUCCACAUGAUUCCUCGACUGCAUCUGAUUGUCAGCGAUGUGGAUGAAAUCGUCAUUUCGCUAAACCAGCAGAGUGUCUUUGAGCCAAAGAAGAUAAGGUCUGGUCAAAUCUCCCUAUACCAACAGUUGAGAGAUUAGUCAACACUCUCAAAUGGUUUAAGGUGAUAUUUUAUUUUUCCGAAAACUUUAGAAACGGGUCACGAAGGAUAUUUUACUCUGCGCCUGUGCAGCGCUCAGGCAAUUAAGCUCAAGAAAAGAUUUGCUUACAUAUUGAUUUGCUCUUUUUUUAAAACGACUUUAGGAUGGUAGACAUUUCUCCGUGUCAAAUGAAAUCGACUUAUUCAAGCGCCUUCGAUCAUUAAUGGAUACAAUGUUCGGACAUGGCAAAAUGUUGUACAAUGUCGGGAUAAGGCAGAUUGAAAUUUGCGAAUUUUUCGUGAUUUUAUGUUCAAACUAAAACAAUGACAAACUGAAUUUAACUUUACAGUAAAGAAGAAGAUUGGCAUGUUGAUAGCCGAACGUUUCCGUGAUGUAGUUCACGAUAUCGGAUUCCAAGUAAACUAUGAUGUUCUUUCAGGACUCCUUUUACGCCAUAUGCGAAAAGUUGGCACAGACACUACGUUUCUGACUAAAUUAUUUUUAGUCCCCCCCCCCCAAAACUCACCAGGAAGUCGGGAACUGGGCAUAACUAUAGCGUAGGCUAACAAAUUUACAUUUCACAGAAACUGAGGAAGAAGCACAUGAGGUAAGCGAUAUUUAGAAGUAAUCUGUAACUGCCCCAUGCAUCACUUACUGCAUCACUAUUACGGCCAGUAAUGCAAUCCGAUAACUGGAGCCAUGUUCCAACAAAUACGAAAACCAUGUCCCACAGCGCAAUCUUCCAAACCUAAAAAAAGCCGACGAUGUUAUGUGACUUAGCAAUCCCAGUAGCCGAAGAUGCUGCAAGAUACUUCAUCUUGGGUCUGGAGCAUUGGCCAAAUCCUAAGGUCAAUGACGCUGAUGUAUGCGGAUAUCCUUGAGUACGGGUAGUCUUUGAAGAAACUGAAGAAUCCUAUCUUAUUCACUAACAGAAGUCUCAAGCGUAACUGGGAAAGAAGAAAUCCAAAUGGAAAAAGUACGGCAGUGGCUUAAAGUUGAUGAUUUAUUAUCUUAUGAACGACAGAAUUUGACUGCCAUGACUCAGCGAGCUGGACUUUUACGAGUUAGACUUCAGUCAACUUCCAAUCAUGAAUUGAUGCAGCAGCAAUACUCUGGAUACACUGCUGAAAGAGCACACACACGGCAGAAACCGGCGAGAUCAUUGCAGCCAUUAAAAACGCCUUUAAAAAACAAUCACAUGUGUACAUGUACUAUUUUCCUCGUUUUUUGCUGUUUUAUAUGACUGCCAAUUGAUUCUAUGGUGUCACUUUUCCCAUGACUUAGAAUUUGAGCAAUUCCUUUUACAACUCGCGUUGGUUGUAAAUUAGGAUAACAGAUGGCGCAACUGCAGAUCUGUCGUUGUUUUGGGUGUGACAAGUGAAACGUAUGUUUGAAUUUUUGUGAACUAUGUUACAUUCCAGUGAUAAGUUUGAUAAAAUUAAAUGGUGUGAUUUCAUCUUUUGAAAGUUUUUCAUUCAUUCCUGUGUUUUUGGAGUGAGAAAAAUCAAGUGGAUUAUUUUGUGUUCAACAGGUAAACUUGUGAUUAGCUAUGGCAGCUGCCAGAUCCAAACUAUUAUUGUUACAUUCCCAUCAUGCUAUUCUAUUGCACGUUGAGAGAAGUAGUUGAUGAAACCUAAAUAGCAAAAGAUACUAACCGUGAGGAAAGGUUAGAAAUGACACAAACUAUAUGAGUAGCAAUACUGCCAUGACAAUAAUGUCAUUCUGCUACUUGUUACUCAUUCAUCAUGUCCUGUCAGUUUUGAUCUGAAAAGUGCAUCAAAUAUUGUGUUGCAAACCAUUAACCAUAACAAUUUCUACAAUCUUCUCAUCAUUUCUACUUAACCUAUCAAGUGGUAGGAUUUUGAGUUGCAGGCUCAUGUAUCAAAAAUAAAAAGAAUGCUGGCCUCGAAGGGAGAUCAUCACCAAUGCAAAAGGAAUGGAUUGGAAUACCACAGGUCAUUCUAUACGCUUUGGCCACUCAUCAUCUCAUCCAACACAUGUCUUCGCCUUGCCCGUAGCCCAGUCUUGGCUUCGCCCGUCGCCCCAUCUUCGCUUCGCCGUCGCCCCGUCUUCGCUUCGUCCGUCUCCCCGUCUUCACUUCGCUUCGCCCGUCGCCCCGUCUUCGCUUCGCUUCGCCCGUCGCCCCGUCUUCGCUUCGCCCGUCAACCCAUCUUCGCUUCGCCCGUCGUCUCGUCAACGCUUCUUGGCCACCCCCUCUUCACUUCAUCGCCUCGUCUUUGUGGUAUCUUUGUAUUUUGUAAUGUUUAACUGUGUAGUGUUAAUUAACCCGUUGGCUGCCACCCACUUUGAUCCCCUUUUUUUUGAAAAGCUUGUUAGGGUCCGGCAGCGCUGUUCUGCCCAAUGGUCUAUAUGCCAUGGGUGGGACAGUUGCACAAGCCGUGUGGCUCAAAGUCGAUCGUCGAGGCAAUGUACCAGUAGGGACUUUCCCUUUUUCGAUGCUUUGAUGGUUGCCUGGAGUGUACAUUCUCACAAAGGCUUCUGUCAUCGUGUCAGCCCGGAUUUGUCGUAGGACAAGUCCCCCUUGGUCGCUAUCCAUUAGAUAGCGAUGUAGCUAGCGUAGAUUUAGUGGCGUGGCAGCCAACGGGUUAGUUUCAUGUAUGUGUUUUUUAUUGUAUUGUAUUGUACUGUAAAAUGUAAAAUCUUGUGGUGGAUUUGUGGGUGGAUGGAGGGAAAAUAAAGACUUUAAUUCGUAUUUUAA